GCAGCUCCGCUCCCCAAGAUGAGGGGUCUGCAUGCUUGGUGAUGCCCAGCAUGUGUGGGCGGCAUGCGCCGUUUACUGCUGGUUGCUUGCUUCUCGUGGUUAGAAGUUCGAACGUCCUUUCUAUGGUCCUGACAGACUUCAUGUAGAUGCUUCGCCGCCCUCAUCCAAACACACCAAGUUUGGCAGUGAGUAGGAAGCUGGCGAGGUAGACAACCUCGCCGGGCCAUCACAGACUCCUCCUUGGCCUCCCGCAGCAUCUCCGACCCCCCUCCCCAUGGGCACAGGCUGCAGGCCCUGGAGAGGCAGGUCAGCCUCGUGUUCUGCACCCCAAGAUGAUGGUCUGCAUGCUCGGUGACACUCAGUAUGUGGGGGAGGAUAGGCCGCCGUCUUCCAAGCAUGACAAGUUUGGGUGAGGCAAGCAGAAGAAGAUUGAACCCCUUACCCUCCCGCUAUCUAUCUCUAUAUCAUGUUGCUCUCUCACAGCCUCAUCGAGUUUAUUUAUUGUGUUGUGGGUGGUUUGCAGAAGUG